rnacentral:misc_RNA from 1 species
GAUGAAGAACGUAGCGAAAUGCGAUACGUAAUGUGAAUUGCAGAAUUCAGUGAAUCAUCGAAUCUUUGAACGCAUAUUGCGCUCUCUGGUAUUCCGGAGAGCAUGCUUGUUUGAGUAUCAGUAAACACCUCAACUUCCAUAUCUUUUUUGAAAUGGGAGUUGGACUUGAGUGAUCCCAACGCUUUUCCUCACCGAAAAGUGGCGGGUUACUUGAAAUGCAGGUGCAGCUGGACUUUUCUCUGAGCUAUAAGAAUAUCUAUUUAGUCUGCCUAAAAAACAGAUUAUUACCUUUGCUGCAGCUAACAUAAAGGAGAUUAGUUCUUGUGCUGACUGAUGCAGGAUUCACAAAGACAGGCUUCGGCCGACUUUGUAAACUCGAUCUCAAAUCAAGUAAGACUACCCGCUGAACUUAAGCAUAUCAAUAAGCGGAGGA